rnacentral:rRNA from 1 species
UACGUAGGUGGCAAGCGUUGUCCGGAUUUACUGGGCGUAAAGAGCGCGCAGGCGGUCGUUCAAGUCGCGUGUGAAAGCCCCCGGCUCAACCGAGGAACGUCGAUCGAUACUGCUGUUCUUGAGGAUUGCAGAGGAGACUGGAAUUCCCGGUGUAGCGGUGAAAUGUGUAGAGAUCGGGAGGAACACCGGUGGCGAAGGCGGCUCACUGGACUGGUACUGACGCUGAUGCGCGAAAGCGUGGGGAGCAAACAGG